GCUUACACAUGCAGUCGAACGCAUCCUUCGGGGUGAGUGGCAGACGGGUGAGUAACACGUGGGAACGUACCCUUCAGUUCGGAAUAACCCUGGGAAACUAGGGCUAAUACCGGAUACGGCCGAGAGGCGAAAGGUUUACUGCUGAAGGAUCGGCCCGCGUCCGAUUAGCUAGUUGGUGUUGGUAACGGCUCACCAAGGCGACGAUCGGUAGCUGGUCUGAGAGGAUGACCAGCCACAUUGGGACUGAGACACGGCCCAAACUCCUACGGGAGGCAGCAGUGGGGAAUAUUGGACAAUGGGCGCAAGCCUGAUCCAGCCAUGCCGCGUGAGUGAUGACGGCCUUAGGGUUGUAAAGCUCUUUUACCUGGGAAGAUAAUGACGGUACCAGGAGAAUAAGCCCCGGCUAACUUCGUGCCAGCAGCCGCGGUAAUACGAAGGGGGCUAGCGUUGUUCGGAUUUACUGGGCGUAAAGGGCGCGUAGGCGGGCGAAUAAGUCAGGGGUGAAAUCCCAAGGCUCAACCUUGGAACUGCCUUUGAUACUGUUUGUCUUGAGUUCGAGAGAGGUAAGUGGAACUGCGAGUGUAGAGGUGAAAUUCGUAGAUAUUCGCAAGAACACCAGUGGCGAAGGCGGCUUACUGGCUCGAAACUGACGCUGAGGCGCGAAAGCGUGGGGAGCAAACAGGAUUAGAUACCCUGGUAGUCCACGCCUUAAACGAUGGAUGCUAGCCGUCGGGCAGCUUGCUGCUCUGUGGCGCCGUUAACACAUUAGCAUCCCGCUGGGAGUACGUC
rnacentral:rRNA from 1 species